rnacentral:rRNA from 1 species
UACAGAGGUCUCAAGCGUUGUUCGGAUUCAUUGGGCGUAAAGGGUGCGUAGGCGGUGCGGUAAGUCGGGUGUGAAAUCUCGGAGCUUAACUCCGAAACUGCAUUCGAUACUGCCGUGCUUGAGGACUGGAGAGGAGACUGGAAUUUACGGUGUAGCGGUGAAAUGCGUAGAUAUCAAGAGGAACACCUGAGGUGAAGACGGGUUGCUGGGCUGACACUGACGCUGAGGCGCGAAAGCUAGGGUAGCAAACGGG